UACGUAGGGGGCAAGCGUUAUCCGGAAUCACUGGGCGUAAAGGGCGUGUAGGUGGUCAAACAAGUCAGGUGAGAAAUACCGGGGCUUGACCCCGGGGCUGCACAUGAAACUGUUAGACUUGAGGGCAGGAGAGGGGAGUGGAAUUCCCAGUGUAGCGGUGAAAUGCGUAGAUAUUGGGAGGAACACCAGUGGCGAAAGCGGCUCUCUGGCCUGUAACUGACGCUGAGGCGCGAAAGCGUGGGGAGCAAACAGG
rnacentral:rRNA from 1 species